GCACUGAUGAGGAGUCCCACAAUAGGACGAAGCAGCCGUUCAGUGC
rnacentral:hammerhead_ribozyme from 1 species